rnacentral:rRNA from 1 species
AGAGAAUAUUGGACAAUGGACGCAAGUCUGAUCCAGCCAUCCCGCGUGCAGGAUUAAGGCCCUCUGGGUUGUAAACUGCUUUUAUUAGAGAAGAAAACCUCAGAUUUAUCUGAACUUGACGGUAUCUAAUGAAUAAGCACCGGCUAACUCCGUGCCAGCAGCCGCGGUAAUACGGAGGGUGCAAGCGUUAUCCGGAUUUACUGGGUUUAAAGGGUGCGCAGGCGGUAAUUUAAGUCAGUGGUGAAAGCCUACAGCUCAACUGUAGAACUGCCAUUGAAACUGAAAUACUUGAGUGUGGUAGAGGUAGGCGGAAUACAACAUGUAGCGGUGAAAUGCAUAGAUAUGUUGUAGAACACCGAUUGCGAAGGCAGCUUACUAAACCAUUACUGACGCUCAUGCACGAAAGCGUGGGGAGCGAAC